CCUACGGGAGGCAGCAGUGGGGGAUAUUGCACAAUGGGGGGAACCCUGAUGCAGCGACGCCGCGUGGGUGAAGGAGUGCUUCGGCAUGUAAAGCCCUAUCGGCAGGGAAGAAGCAAGACGGUACCUGACUAAGAAGCCCCGGCUAACUACGUGCCAGCAGCCGCGGUAAUACGUAGGGGGCGAGCGUUAUCCGGAUUCACUGGGUGGAAAGGGGGCGUAGACGGCCAAGCAAGCCAGGGGUGAAAGCCCGGGGCCCAACCCCGGGACUGCCCUUGGAACUGCAUGGCUGGAGUGCGGGAGGGGCAGGCGGAAUUCCUGGUGUAGCGGUGAAAUGCGUAGAUAUCAGGAGGAACACCGGCGGCGAAGGCGGCCUGCUGGACCGCGACUGACGUUGAGGCUCGAAAGCGUGGGGAGCGAACAGGAUUAGAUACCCUGGUAGUC
rnacentral:rRNA from 1 species